rnacentral:lncRNA from 1 species
UUUCAUUACACUUCUUUCAAGAAAGCAACAGGCUGCCCAACAGACCUCUCAUUGAUUGGAAGAGAAAUGAGCCCAGAGCCUCCUAACAACAGCCUUGGAGUGGACAGGAUGAUGAACAGUGAUGCCAAAGACUCAGGAUCUGAAGGCAGACAGGCCUGGUCCACCACCUGUGUCUGCCAUUUGCAGGAUGAGUGACCUUGAGUAGGUCACCUCACACCUCUGAACCUGAAUUCUACAUCUGCAAAACAGGAAUGAUGACCCUGACUGACAGCCUCCCUGUGAGGAGUAAGCCAUACAGCAUCCCUCCCUCCUUCACGUGACAAACUUUUCCUGAGUCCUGACCUCGGGGGCAGGAGCUGGAGAUACUACACUGGAUUAGAAAGAUGAGUUUCCAGUCAAGUGUGGGAGAGAGAAGUAGCCAGGAUGUAGAACCUGACAAGGGAAGAGUUCAGGAACUUGCCCAGUUGAGCAGCCAGUGAACGGGACAGCCCUGAGCACGGUGCACGUUCUGGGGUGGCUCGUGAGUGACAGCAGUACUGGUAUGCUGGUGAGUGCCUCAGCAGGAGCUCCCUCUGUCCCCCUACCAACUCCCCGAUGUCUGGACGGCACCAGAGCCCGCCUGGGAGGCCACGAGCUAACACUCUCAAGAGGUAAGUGUAUGCCAGGGGCUGGACUAAGGGGACUUCCCCAGAGACCCUGUGAAGUAUGUCUGUAUGAAGAUUCCUAUUCCUAUUUCUCCAAUAGGAAAACAGGGGGAUCAAACCAAUGACCCAAGGGCCUACAGCUAAGAACUGCUGGAGCCAGGCUCUGAACUGAGCUCUGCCUGACUCCAGAGGUGGUUUCUACCACCAGGCAAUACAACAGGGAGACACGCAGGUGUGUCAGAGAGCAGUCCUCACAGUGCGAGCACAGAAACCAGAGGCCAAGGCUGAAGAUUUUCCUGGACUCGCGGUGCUGCCCAGGAAUCUUCUGAGAAAACCUGUCAGUUGGUAAAGCCACGUGGAGGCGGGGCUAACAAAAUCUGGAAAUGUCUUCACCAGUUCCAAAGUACACACAAACAUUACUUGCCCUCUCUGGGGGUCAACGUUCUUUAUGAUUUUUUUCUCUCCAGGAAAAUAUUAGUUCAUUUAUAGAAACUAAACAUUACAUGUGGAGGGAAAAUGGAAAACGUGGCAUUCUUGGCCUUUUUUCUCCACAGACACAGAAACUGAGAAGGUUUCUCCAUUUCCUUUCUCACAGCCUAUUUGUUGGUGUGGAACUGCCUGUGAAGUCAUUCUGCAGGGGUGGAAAGUGGGGGCCAGCUCUCUGUGGGCAACAGGGACCAUCCCAGAGACAAAGGGCAGCCUCAGCCCACAGACCACUUCGGACUUGAAUCAAGGCCUCAAAGGGCGAGACCUGGGCCACUGUCAAUGUGAGGGCAGGUAGGCUGGGUAGAGGGGUAGAGGCGUGGGCGCUGCCUAGAAGAGGGCCAGAGAGACCGCCCGGCACAUUGGUCUUGCUCCCACUGCCUCCUUUCAGCUCCUCAGUGUACCCAUCCUUGCCCCUGGCAGCUUUUGCUGCCUGGUUCCCCGACUAAAAUGUGAGCUUUGUGGGGAAGGUUCUUGCCUUGCUGGGCACCUGGCUCACAGCAAGUCCUUGGCCUGGAAGUCUUGGGUGAAUGAAUGAAUGAACAUGUCUUAGGGCCUCUCCUUUGCAGGUGUGGGGGAUGUGCCUACUGGAAAGGGCACCGAGCUGAAGCCUAAACCCCCUCCUGAGGAGCCAGGGAAGCCUGCGUUCCUCCCAUUCCCGGGACUGCAAGAGGCACAUUCCUGUCCCUGAGUCUGGUCAGGCUCCUGCCACGCAGCUCAGUCUGGCUGCCAGGUCCAGAAAGGCCUCCCUGGAG